rnacentral:rRNA from 1 species
UACGUAGGGCGCAAGCGUUAUCCGGAAUUAUUGGGCGUAAAGAGCUCGUAGGCGGUUUGUCGCGUCUGCCGUGAAAGUCCGGGGCUCAACUCCGGGUCUGCGGUGGGUACGGGCAGACUAGAGUGAUGUAGGGGAGACUGGAAUUCCUGGUGUAGCGGUGAAAUGCGUAGAUAUCAAGUGGAACACCAGUGGCGAAGGCGAAUCCCUGGAAAAUACCUGACACUGAGGCACGAAAGCGAGGGGAGCAAACAGG